CUGGUUCUUAAUAUGCUAUUUCUAUUGGAUCUUACUCUGCCUCUUCAUUGGUCGUAAUAUGCCCGGUGUGAAAUACGAAACGGCUGUUACUUGCAAAUUGCUGAUUCAGUACAUCUGCAGGCAAACACUAAAGCUGCUUUAGCUACUGAAAAUCUUCUUACGGGUGAAGAAGCUGUAAUAGCUGCUGCUGCUGCUGAAGCAGUUGCUUUGGCAAAAGCUGCAUUAGAAGUUGCAAAAGAUGCUGUGAUGAUGGUCGGCCAUAACAAGUCAGAUGACACUGUGGCAGGUGUGGAUACUACCCAGCUGCUUGAGAGGUUUCAACCUGGCGAGACGGGGCGAAACAGCAUAGUUGGGGAGCUAAAGACAAGUGAGAUGAGACGGAGCGAAAGUAAUUCAUCCGGAAACUCACAUACAGAUUUUGAGGACCUGGAACCAACACAUGAAGAGCUGGAACUUCUUCAAACAGAGCUUUUAAAUGGUAUAGCUGUAAGAUCGAAGCGUCAAAAUGAACGGAAUGCUAAAAGAGCUACAAGUGAGAUCAGAUGGAGUGAAAGUAAUUCAUCCGGAAACUCACAUACAGAUUCUGAGGACCUGGAACCAACACAUGAAGAGCUGGAACUUCUUCAAACAGAGCUUUUAAAUGGUAUAGCUGUAAGAUCUAAGCGUCAAAAU
rnacentral:lncRNA from 1 species